ensembl:misc_RNA
UUGCCUUCAAUGCAGGCUAAAAUCUUCUGUUCAUGAAUGAAACAGUACCGUUGGUGUACGUUUUUCUCUUCGCUUCUUCAUCUCCAAAUGUGCUUUAGUCAUAACCUAGAGGGACCACCUGCGAGUGAGAGGGUAGUUUAGUCUCCAUGCUUAUUCAGUCCUUGGUCUCU